CAAAAAUUUCUUGAUUCAAACACAAGAUCAAAGCAUAAAAAAUUCCCAAAUAUAUUUUUUAGUUGGUUGAACCACUUUUCAUUCGAGAAAACAUAUUAUUGAAGAUAAAGAACACAUACCAAAAAUCUCUUGAUUCAACCAUAAAAUCAAAAUAUUAAAAAUCCCAAUUUUUUCAAAACACCAAACAAACCAUUUCCAAUCAUUGUCAGAUCUAGGAAUGAGACUUAAAUUUUGGUUUGUAAAGAAUGAGAGGAGAAAAGAAUCCAAAGGUUCAGGAGCACACAAUUGAGGAGUUCUUAGGCGAUUAUAAGUUGGCAGUCAG
rnacentral:lncRNA from 1 species